rnacentral:rRNA from 1 species
GAAGGAACGUUAAAGACGAUGACGUUGAUAGGCCGGGUGUGUAAGCGCAGCGAUGCGUUGAGCUAACCGGUACUAAUGAACCGUGAGGCUUAACCUU